rnacentral:rRNA from 1 species
GUGGGGAAUAUUGGACAAUGGGCGAAAGCCUGAUCCAGCCAUGCCGCGUGAGUGAUGAAGGCCUUAGGGUUGUAAAGCUCUUUCAGUAGGGAAGAUAAUGACGGUACCUACAGAAGAAGCCCCGGCUAACUUCGUGCCAGCAGCCGCGGUAAUACGAAGGGGGCUAGCGUUGUUCGGAUUUACUGGGCGUAAAGCGCACGUAGGCGGAUUGGUCAGUUAGAGGUGAAAUCCUGGAGCUCAACUCCAGAACUGCCUUUAAUACUGCCAGUCUAGAGUCCAGAAGAGGUGAGUGGAACUCCUAGUGUAGAGGUGGAAUUCGUAGAUAUUAGGAAGAACACCAGUGGCGAAGGCGGCUCACUGGUCUGGUACUGACGCUGAGGUGCGAAAGCGUGGGGAGCAAACAGGAUUAGAUACCCGUGUAGUCC